GGGGACGUAACGGAAUCGACAGGAAUGAUUAUUCGUUAGUAAGCAUGCCGGAGCAUACUAGUUUACCUCCGCAAAAAAUGACUAGUAACAACUUUUCAAAUGGCAACAGACAGUUCGCCAUGGCUGCCUAGUUCUAGGAAUUAGAAAGCCUUUGUGCCUUGCGCUUGACGCCUGAUACACAGCAUGACGCACAUCAACCAACUUUCAGGCUAGACUAGUAACCCGCUUCGAUUACUAGUCGAAAUUCAGGAGAUAAGGGAUGAGUAUAGGAGGGUUUCCAAUCCUUUCGCAUUCACGAAAAUUCAACUGGGAACUAAGCAUGUAGAAGGCUCUCGGAGGCUUUCUCUGGACGCGAGUUCGACUCUCGCCGUCUCC
rnacentral:tmRNA from 1 species